rnacentral:rRNA from 1 species
UUGGGCGUAAAGAGAGUGCAGGCGGUUUUCUAAGUCUGAUGUGAAAGCCUUCGGCUUAACCGGAGAAGUGCAUCGGAAACUGGAUAACUUGAGUGCAGAAGAGGGUAGUGGAACUCCAUGUGUAGCGGUGGAAUGCGUAGAUAUAUGGAAGAACACCAGUGGCGAAGGCGGCUACCUGGUCUGCAACUGACGCUGAGACUCGAAAGCAUGGGUAGCGAACAGGAUUAGAUACCCUGGUAGUCCAUGCCGUAAACGAUGAGUGCUAGGUGUUGGAGGGUUUCCGCCCUUCAGUGCCGGAGCUAACGCAUUAAGCACUCCGCCUGGGGAGUACGACCGCAAGGUUGAAACUCAAAGGAAUUGACGGGGGCCCGCACAAGCGGUGGAGCAUGUGGUUUAAUUCGAAGCUACGCGAAGAACCUUACCAGGUCUUGACAUCUUGCGCCAACCCUAGAGAUAGGGCGUUUCCUUCGGGAACGCAAUGACAGGUGGUGCAUGGUCGUCGUCAGCUCGUGUCGUGAGAUGUUGGGUUAAGUCCCGCAACGAGCGCAACCCUUGUUACUAGUUGCCAGCAUUAAGUUGGGCACUCUAGUGAGACUGCCGGUGACAAACCGGAGGAAGGUGGGGACGA